rnacentral:rRNA from 1 species
GAUGAACGCUGGCGGCGUGCUUAACACAUGCAAGUCGAACGAUGAAGCCCAGCUUGCUGGGUGGAUUAGUGGCGAACGGGUGAGUAACACGUGAGUAACCUGCCCUUAACUCUGGGAUAAGCCGGGGAAACUGGGUCUAAUACCGGAUAGGAGCGUCCACCGCAUGGUGGGGGUUGGAAAGAUUUAUCGGUUUUGGAUGGACUCGCGGCCUAUCAGCUUGUUGGUGAGGUAAUGGCUCACCAAGGCGACGACGGGUAGCCGGCCUGAGAGGGUGACCGGCCACACUGGGACUGAGACACGGCCCAGACUCCUACGGGAGGCAGCAGUGGGGAAUAUUGCACAAUGGGCGCAAGCCUGAUGCAGCGACGCCGCGUGAGGGAUGACGGCCUUCGGGUUGUAAACCUCUUUCAGUAGGGAAGAAGCGAAAGUGACGGUACCUGCAGAAGAAGCACCGGCUAACUACGUG